CCCAGACUCCUACGGGAGGCAGCAGUGGGGGAUAUUGCACAAUGGGGGGAACCCUGAUGCAGCGACGCCGCGUGGGUGAAGGAGCGUUUCGGCGCGUAAAGCCCUAUCGGCAGGGAAGAAGGAGGACGGUACCUGACUAAGAAGCCCCGGCUAACUACGUGCCAGCAGCCGCGGUAAUACGUAGGGGGCAAGCGUUAUCCGGAUUUACUGGGUGUAAAGGGGGCGCAGACGGCAGCGCAAGCCAGGAGUGGAAGCCCGGGGCCCAACCCCGGGACUGCUCUUGGAACUGCGCGGCUGGAGUGCAGGAGGGGCAGGCGGAAUUCCUGGUGUAGCGGUGAAAUGCGUAGAUAUCAGGAGGAACACCGGUGGCGAAGGCGGCCUGCUGGACUGCGACUGACGUUGAGGCCCGAAAGCGUGGGGAGCAAACAGGAUUAGAUACCCCUGUAAAA
rnacentral:rRNA from 1 species